GGUGCAGUGGCCGAAUGGUGAGGCCCGCGGCUGCAGUCCGCGUUCAUGCAGGUUCGAGUCCUGUCUGCACCU
rnacentral:tRNA from 1 species